CCAAAGGAAGUGUAAUUACAUGGAUUUGUUCAGUUCCAAGGUGCAUGUUCAUGAGGAUUAUGCACAUUCAAACAUCCCUUUGGGUCUGCACAAUCUGGGAAUUCUUUUGCUUGGUCUGACUCCUGGCCCAUCUUCUUAAAGUGCUGCAGGUGAAAUUUGUCUGUUUUAUGUUCCCACAAGGCUCCUGUUCCGUGGUUUGGCAGUUCUUGAUAACCAAAGUUUUUUAUUAGUUCAGAGCCAUAUUCUUGAUGGGGAAUCCCAGGUAAGAAAUAGAUACAUUUAAAAAUAGAUAAAUGAAU